rnacentral:tRNA from 1 species
GGUGGCUCAGUGGUAGAGUGCCUGCCUUGCAUGCAUGAGGUCCUGGGUUCGAUUCCUCAGCACCA